CAUAUUAUGCUCUGAAAUGUAUUAUAUUCUAAACUUGUUUGGUUAUUAUAUCAUUUAAUGGCUUACAUAACUAAGCAUAAGUGGAGGACGUAAGUGAUUUAUGGUCAGAAUCCCUCCAAUCAUCGUGUUGACUAGUCAGCGCCAAUUCACUAACCAACGUUAAGUAACUCUUAUUAACUUAGCAAAGGAAUGUUAGCCGUCGAUAUUUACCCCAGAUGCUCUGAUUAUGUUUCAUUGUUAGACGAUUGAUCUGGACUCAAGCUGUAGGCCUACCAGUCAGAUGAGUCACUCAGUGGAGGAGGAGGACUUUGCGGAUAUCAGGGCCUACUUUUCCACAACAAAAUGGAACCGCCUCUGUAUGGCAGAGAAAAAAAGAUUCCUGCAGAUCAAGGAAAACCAUUUGGUUAUGUCGUCUCUUGGCCUGUCCUUUGUGGCUCCAGCCUUCAUGAGGAGAGAGAAGCCCGGCCAGGUGAGAGUCUGCUCACCUGAAGAGACGGACUCUGAGGAGGAGCAGCUCUGGACCUCUGGAUUGACCGGUACAAAGACAUU